AACUGAGGUUCCCUCCUUACAGAUGACUCUAGCUUGUAUCAAGUUGAUAUAAACCUAGGCAACCCACCAAGUGACCCUGGCAUGUUCCCUGACAUGUGAUGUUAUCUACUAAAGGGUCCUCCCCAGCACCAAGUAUAAACCUUUGUGAUGCCCUUGAAUCUCUAGAACACUGAACAAAACAAUCCUCUCUUCUUUAUGAACUGUCCCAGCCUUGGAUGUGUUGUUAGAGUAACAGAGACUAGACAAACAUUGUUACCUCUCUGCUACCUUAGAGAUGAUCUUUUAGGAACUCAGCAGAAAGAGAAGGGCUUUGUGGCAGUGGGGUUACAGAGCUCUUUCAAGGGACACAGGUCACAAUGUGUCAUGGUGCUUUCCACAGCCCUGACUACCAACAGAAGCUCCUAGCAAAUAAUUAGGGGGUGUGAGAGCGUGUGUGUGUGUGUGUGUGUGUGUGUGUGUGUGUGUGUGUGUGUUCACAGGAGAAGUAAGGAAACAAGCUCUUCCAGAGCUGGGCCGGGCAACUGGAGAGAGAUCUGAUUGUUCCUGGAUCAUACAGGCUGCUGUGGUAACAGAAAGAGACCAGACAAUCUUCUAGAAGAGGAAACUCUUCCAACCAUGGUGCCACAUUCUGUAAGCAUAGUGGAGGGAGAAGGAUAUUCAGUCAAAACGUGAAACAGUGGGAAGUUGGCAGCUGUCCCUGUCCCUCAGUGUAUAAUGUGCUGACAGGCCUGGGGUCAACCUCUGCACCGCAGAAAGCCAUCAAUCCCCUCCUAGACAAAAUCAGCAACAAACUGAUAAGGGAUGGAGUGGUGCUCAGAGCCAUUUGAAUUCACUACCUGUGACCUGGCCUAGCUCUGGGACUGAUAGAAACCUCUCAGGGGCGGGGAAUAGCAGUGACCUAGUAAGAUGCUUCUUACACAGUGACCUGGAUUCAAGCUCAGUCCUCUCUUUCUGGAUUCUUCCUAAAAAACAAAGAGGCUGAGGGAGAUGAUCUUUGCCUGUCUUCUAACAUUUGAAUCCUGAGAUUUCUAGGCACCAAAAAGGUGAGUCUUCUCAUAUAAUCCUGUUUCUGGGGUUUGUCCAAAGGGCCUGGUGUCGAGAUCUCUGAGAGAUAACUGUACACCUAUGUUCCCCCUAGCAGGAGUCACAACAGCCAGGACACAGAGUCAUCCAAAUGUCCAUAAGGAAACAAUAGUAUAUGCGGAUGGUCCUUAGUUUGUAAUAGGAUUAUAUCACAAUAAACCACGGCAAGUAGAUCAGGCUGAAAACUGAACAUGACUUUAUCAUAUGUAACCUGCCAAUCAUAAUAGGUUAGCUUAAAUGUGUUCAGAAAAACGUGCAUUCACCUGUAUUUGGGAGUCACGAGAGAGGUUCAUGCUAUCACUAGCCUGGGAAAGAGAAAAAGUCAGAUUUCCAAUCAACACAUAUUACUUUCAUUCCACUGGAAAGUCAAAAAGGCCCUUGGUCAAGCUUUUGUAAGUCAUCGGCCAUCUAUAUACACAACAGACUCUCACUCAGCUUUUAAAAGGGAAUGACUGUAAUAUGCAUAUUACAUGAGUGAACUUUGAGGAUGUUAUCCUCCAUAAAAGAAACUGUCAUGAAAUGCCAAAUAAUAUAUGAUUCCAUCUGUGUGUGGUGGCAGAAACAGACAAAUGGGCAACAGAGGAGAGAAUAGAGGUUGCGUGGUAGGAAGGACUUAUGGAUAAUUGCUAAUUGAUAACUAUAAACGAAUAAACGUUUACUGUAACUUGAACACUAGUUGAAGGUGAAUCAUUGCAAAGUGGGUAAGGUAUUAGUUAGACAAUGAAAUAGAAUACACAGAGAGCUGGGAGAUGGCUCAGGCGGUAAUGAACUUGCUGCCUAAGCCUGAAGACGUAAGUUCGGACCCCCAGCAUCUGCACUUUUAAGAAUCAGUUGUAGCAGUGCACAUCUAUAAUCCCAGCACUGGGGAGGCAGGAAUAGGAGAAUCUUUGGGGAUUGCUGGCUAUCCUGACUAGCCUAACUGGUGACUUCCCGGUUUCAUGGGAAACCCUGUCUCGAGACAUAACAUGAAGAACGGUCUGUGAGGAUGCUCAACAUGGACCCCUGGCGUCUACACACAUAUGUGUACCUGUGCACUGCCAAUGUACCCCACAUGUGCAAUUGUGGGUACUUUGGGAAGAUCUCCAGGGUAUAUUAAGUGGGAAAAGCAAGAUGGGGGACUACUCAUCUAGUGUCUUACUUUUGGGUUAGAAGGUAAAGUAUUGCUUCAAAUGUGCUUGCUUGCCUUUGAAUAAACAAAUAGUGACUUUUCUGUUGCUGUGAUAAAACACCAUGACCAAGAACACUAAAUGAAGGCAGCUUUGAUUUGGGUUUGUGGUUCCAGAGGGAUAAGGGAACAUCAUGGUGUGGUGUCAUAGCAACAGGCAUCAGACAUGGUGGCAACAGCAGUCAACCAAGAACUCAAAAGUCUGCCCCAGUGACAUACUUCCUUAAGCAAGGCUGUGCUCCUUAAGUAGUGCCACCACCUGGGGAUCAGGUGUUCAAAUGCCUAAGACUCUGGGAGACAUGCCUCAUUCACAGACUGCAGGAGCACAUUUGAAAUGAUUAAUCAAUGGUGCAGAUGGUGAUAGAGUGCUAGGGGUGGGAUGGAGGGGACAGAGAGGCUGCUACAUUAUCACUUGACUCCUUUGAGCCCUGUGAACAGAGGACUUGCUAAAACCAGACUUCAAUUACAAUGUAAAUUGGAAGACACGAUGAAAGGCAGGUCUUCAGGAUGUUCCUUACUCGUGCAAAGAGUUUUCGACAUAUAGCCUCAUGGUAGAGAGGUUGGGAAGGUAUGUUUCAUGUUUUUUAAAGUUGGAAAAUAACUUUUGGCCAGAGUCCCCACAGAACUUUUGGAACUGCUUGUUGGUGCCAUCAGUCUUGAUGACCUUGAGCAUACUGAAGUGAAUAGUCUUGCUCAGGGGCCUGCACUCUGUUCCACAGUUCUAGUGUCACCAAUCUAUAUACCCCUGAAAGAGGGGGACAGGUACACAGACUUGGUCUUGUGAUGCUUCUCAAAGUGACUGUACCUUCAGAUGUAAUGGAGAUAGUCCCAGCAGAUGACAUGGUCCUCUGCAUCUUUAUCUUGGUCAUGACACCAGAUAGGAUCCGACCUCUGAUGGAGAUGUUAACAGUGAAGGGGCAUUUCUUGUCUAUGUAGGUGCCCGGGGUGGCCUCCUUGGGCAUCUUGAAACUUAUACCAAUGUUUGUGUAGUACUGAGGGAGUUUUUCUUGACCGGUUUCUCCCAGCUCUGAGAGAUUAAAGGCUGCUUUUGGUAAACAUGCUCCAUCUGAGUCUUCGCCAUCUUCCCAGAAGCCUGAGAAAAGGAGAAGACUGCACUCCAUUUCUAAAGGGGUCUCAUAGUCUCUCAUAGAGACCCCACACUCUCUAUGAAGCUGAAGAUAAACUUCAAUUUCUGUUCCUCCUGCUUCUGCCUCCUGAGAGCUGAGAUUACAGGUAUGUCUUACCAUACCCUGCUAGUACAAUGAUGGAGACUAGACCCAGCUGGGGCUUCAUACAUGCUAGGCAAACCCUCUAUCCAAUGAGCCACAUCCUCAGCAUGAGAUGAAUUCUUAAAAUAUGGCUAUCCAUUAGAACUGACACCUCUCAAGCCCACCUCUUUCAACAUAUAUUUCAGCAAUUUUCUUGUAGUUGAACAAGGGCUGUAGAGCCAUCUACAAGCCACACUGAAAACAUUUCCAUCUCCCAGAUGACCUGUGCCCACUUACUUCCCCAGAUCUAUGCAGUCACUAAUUUGUUUUCUGCAUUUCCAAUCUCCUUUUGCCUUUUCUGAGCAUUCCAUAUGAAUGGAAUCAUGUCACUUGUGGUCUUGUGUGCAUAGCGUCUCUUCUUGGCAUCAUUCUUGGAAGCUCUUCUACAUGGCAUCACGUAUCAAUAUGUGUCAGUUCUUUUUUUCUUUUUUUCUUUCAGAAAAACAACUUACUACAUGUGAAGACAUUUUGCUUGUCUGGUUAACAGAGACUUAGGUUGUUUUAUUUAGCACUAGUGAUGCUGACAUGAACACUUGUGCAUGUCUUUUUUUUUUUUUUCUUCAUUUCUCUUGGGGAGAUGCCUGGAGAAAGAUUUAUGUGUAGGAUGGUGUGAUGGUUAUCUCUGCUGAAAUUGACACAACUUAGAAUCACUCAGGAAUAGACUCUAAAUGAAGGACUGUCUGCAUUAGGUUGGUCUGUGAAUGAUUGUCUUAAGUUGAUUGAUGUGGGCAUUGUGGGCAGCAUCAUUCCCUAGGCAGGAGAUCUUAGAGCAUAUAAGAGAGGAGAAAUCAAGCUGAGUACAAGCAAGCAAGUAGCAAGCAAGCAUGCAGGCAUCUAUUUCUCUUAGCUAUUCACUGCUAAUGGGAUGUGACUAGCUGUUUGAAGCUCCUUCCUUGACUUCUAUACAGUGAUGGACUAUAAUCUGGAAUUAUAAGAUGAAAUAUAGUCCUUGCCUGGGGUGUGGUAUGGAUGAAUCAAGAUGACUUCAUACCUGAAGCCCUAAUCCACAAUGGAUUGGUAUUUGGAUGUAAUCACUUUUUAGGAGGUGGUAAAAGGGCAAGGUAGAGUCCUGGUGGGGGAGAUUAUUAUCCUUGUAAGAGACACAUAAAAACUUACUCUUCAACCUUCCCUUUUUAUCAAGAGAGAGCUCCUUAUAAAUCAGGAAGUGGGUUUUCUCCAGACACCAAAUCUGCAUGUGAGUUGAAUUUAGAGGUCUAGCUUACAUAUCUAUGAGAAUAAAUGUUUGUGUCAGCCACCCAGGUGAUGGGAUUAUUGCUCCAGAGGCCUAGUCAGACUCAUGUAUAGAACAAUUAGACCCUAGUUUGUGGCAAUAUUUUGGGAAGCUGUUGAGCAUAUGAGAAGUGGGGCUAGGCUAGCAGAAGGGUGGGUCUUUGAAGGUUAUAUGCCACCCUGGCUCUGACGUAAUGUCUCUGUUUAUUGAUCUACCAAUGCAAAGAGCCUCUGUCACACACUGCCACCACCACAAAUGGAGCCUUUCUGUCCUGCCUUUCCCAGCACAGUGGGCUGGAACUGUAAGUCAAAACAAUCCUUUCCUCCCUUGGGUCACUUCUACUAGGCCUUUUGGUCACAGUGGCACAAAAUAAUAGUACAUAGCCCAAGCUGACUAAGACAGAUGCCAAGGCUGGCAUCUGUCAAUGCUGUCCCAAUAUGGCUAUGAAUGUGACAGUCUCCAAUACCCCUUCCUUUUACCUGGCCAUUUAUACAGUCCUCUUCCCCAGAGAGAAGAAGGGAUGAAAAAAUAACCCUAGGAUAGAUUAUGACCAUGUUUUAGUGGCCCUUGGGACAGUCAUGAGUCAUAGAAAUACUGAAAAGAUGAAGCCCAUAUUAAUCUGUCUUUUAUUUUCUGGUGCUUUUGAUGACCUGGAGAGACAACUUCUGCUACAGCGGGCCAUUUCUCAAAGAGAACAUGUUCUUCAAAGGCAGAUUGACCUUGCUGAGGCUCACAACCUCAAACACCUCUCUUAGAAGACUGAGCACUCUCCCUGAUGGAAUCAUUGUUCUGGAACCCAUCAAGCCCUUCCCACCUCGAGAAACUAUAUCCCCUGAAGCCCCCUGAGCUAAAGUAAGUCCUCCCUCUCCCAGACUGCUUUGGUCAGGUAUUCAGUCAGAGUGUGACAGAGGUGACAGUGACUCCAUGAAAGGGGACAUAACAAGAUCCUCUCAUCUCUCCCAGAACCAUUUGGAAGCGACAUUUAUAAAAAUCACUUGCUUUGGGGAGGGGCUGACUUUUCCAUCUUCAAAGCUAGUGUUCUCAAAAUGCCAUUGGAAAGUGGGGGGUGGGGGCAGCUACCAUAGGAGUAGUUAACCGGGCAGCUCUGAUGGCCCAGGAAAAAACUGCACAGGAAAACCCAAGGGGCAUCAUUUGGCGUUUCUCCAGUCACCCGUGCAACUACAGACUGACAUCUGUCAAUGGAGAGAAGUUAUUAUAAAUUGUGAUGAGGGUCCAGGAAGAAACUCUGGACCAUAAAGCUUUGACUACAUUGAUAAUGGCAAGGAGCCAGGCCUGAUGGUGGAGGUCUGUUGUCUUAGUUACUUGGAAAGCUGAGGCAGGAGGACGUAGUUGACUAUAGAGUGAGUUUAAGGCCCGGCUGAGCAACUUUGUGAGCUAUCUUGAAAUGAAAAACAGAUGACAAUCAUGACGAUGACAAGGAUA
rnacentral:sRNA from 1 species